rnacentral:tRNA from 9 species
GGGCGCUUAGCUCAGCUGGGAGAGCACCUGCCUUACAAGCAGGGGGUCAUAGGUUCGAGCCCUAUAGCGCCCACCA